UACAGAGACUGCAAGCGUUAUUCGGAUUCACUGGGCGUAAAGGGUGCGCAGGCGGUUGGGUGUGUCAGAUGUGAAAUCCCGAGGCUUAACCUCGGAACUGCGUCUGAAACUACUCGACUAGAGUACUGGAGAGGGAAACGGAAUUCACGGUGUAGCAGUGAAAUGCGUAGAGAUCGGGAGGAACAUCUGUGGCGAAGGCGACUACCUGGACCAGCACUGAACACUGAGGCACGGAAAGCGUGGGGAGCAAACAGG
rnacentral:rRNA from 1 species